UUCUUUACACUAAAUUUAGUUUUGUGAAUUUUGAAUAAUAAACUUUUUAUUUAAAAUUUUUUGUUUUAAUCCCUCUCUGUAUAUCAGUGUUCAAACCUCUAGAAGCAGAACGAGUAGGGGAGUGUGUGUGCGCACCAAAUGUAUAUUAAUUAUGAUAAUUAUAUGGGGAGACACAUAUGUGAUUUAUUACAAGGAAUUGGCUGUGUGAAUGUGGGCGCUGGCUAAGCAAGUGUGCAAUUUUUAGUGUUGUCAGGAUGGAAAGACCACAUCAAAGGCAGGCAGGAACUCACAGGCAUGGGCCAAAGCUAUUGUGCACAGACAGUCAGAAAAGGAAGAUCACAAGCAGAAUGGAACUCCACAUGUACAGGUGGAAGCUGCUGUCCACAGAAGGAAUUUCUUCUCUUUUUUGGGGAUGCCUAAGUCCUGCUUUUAAGGACUUUGCACUAGUUCAACCAGUCCGACAUAGAUUACCUAGGAUAAUGUGCCUUCCUUCAAUUCAGCUGAUUAAGGACUGUGAUUACAUUUGCAAAAUACCUUCACAGCAACAUCUCAAUUAUAUUUGAUUGAAUAACUGGGGACUGUAGCCUAUCCAGGAUGACAUAUCAAAAAAGCUAUCAUACUGAUUAAAGAUGGCAAAACUUGACCUGAAAUUUACAUGAAUAACUACUUAAGAGUAGCCAAGGAAUUUAUGAGAAAGAACAACAGUGAGGAAAACGACUUGCUUACUAGGUAUCAAAGUAGAGCCAUAAAUCAGUACAAUAUUGACUAGAUUAGUGCAACAGAAGGAGAAUCCAGAAAUAGAGCCCAGGACAUAUUUGAGAAUUUGAAACUAAACUAAUUUUAAUUUAAUGAGAAAAAGGAUAGAUUAUCGGUCCCCACCCCGGGGACCGCCGCCACCCGCCUCCCAUCAUGGAUCUGAAGAGAAUCCACUAGGAAUUGAAUGACCUGGCACAGGAUCCCCCAGCACAAUGUUCAGCAGGUCCUGUUGGAGAUGACAUGUUCCAUUGGCAAGCUACAAUAAUGGGGCCAAAUGACAGUCCAUAUCAGGGUGGAGUAUUUUUCUUGACAAUUAAUUUCCCAACAGAUUACCCCUUCAAACCACCUAAGGUUGCAUUUACAACAAGAAUUUAUCAUCCAAAUAUUAACAGUAAUGGCAGCAUUUGUCUUGAUAUUCUACGGUCACAGUGGUCUCUAGCACUAACUAUUUCAAAAGUACUCUUGUCCAUCUGUUCUCUGUUGUGUGAUCCCAAUCCAGAUGAUCCUUUAGUGCCUGAGAUUGCUCGGAUCUACAAAACAGAUAGAGAAAAGUACAACAGAAUAGCUGGGGAAUGGACUCAGAAGUAUGCGAUGUAAUUAAAGAAAUUAUUGGAUAACCUCUACAAAUAAAGAUAGGGGAACUCUGAAAGAAAAAGUCCUUUUGAUUUCCAUUUGACUGCUUUCUAUGAGCCCACGCCUCAUCUUCCCCUGUGCACAUGUUUACCUGAUACAGCAGUGCUGCGUGUUGUACAUACUUGGAACAACAAACUAGAAAUACUGUACUUCUGUACCAACAUUGUCUCCUAGCAGAGAAGUGUGUGUGUGACAAGCCAUUUCUCCAGGCGUAACCUAGGUGUGAGACUAAAAGCUUUCCUUAUUGACUUAAAUUUGGAUAAUGGCAAGGUGUGAGGGGUGGUGGGUUUGGUGUGUGCUUGGAUGGGAAAGAAAAGCUCCACUGACGUGUAGGAGAUUGUUUUUAAGUGGAAUCCAUUUAAACCCAAAACAGUUAUGUAAAGCAAGGUGAAGAACAUGAAGCUGUUUCUGUAUUCAUUUUAUUCUGAAGGACCUGCGUCUUGGGUGAAAGUUAUGACCAACCAGAUUAAUUCUACCCACAUCCUGUAUUUUAAGGUCUAAGUUUAACUGGUCAAUAUUUAAAUGGAUUGGAGCUAUUAGUACAUAAAGCGUGAUGGGCUUUGUUCCCAACUCUUACAUCUCCCCACCCCUUCAGCCUUUUAAACCCCUCUUUCUCUCUUCCAUAUUCUUUGGUUUGUAUGUGGUUUCUCAGUUAAUUCAUAGCUAAUAACUCUUAUUUUCUUAUGUUUUUAACUGCUUAGGUCUAUUUGGAUGUAAGGGUGAAAAUUCAUUGCAUGGAAAUACUUGUGUAUAUUUAAAGACCCAAUUGCUCCUCUGGAGCUUGUAUGUUCAAGAAUGAUUAAUCUGUGUAAUAAACUGAUUACUACAGUCAUUACAUAUA